GCUUGCUUUGACAGCACAUACUAAAAUGGGAAUGAUGCAGAGCAGACUAGUAUGGCCCCUGCCCAAGGAUUACAUCCAAAUUCAUGAAACAUUCCUUAUUUUU
rnacentral:snRNA from 1 species